UACGGAGGGUGCAAGCGUUAUCCGGAUUCACUGGGUUUAAAGGGUGCGUAGGUGGGUCUGUAAGUCAGUGGUGAAAUCUCCGUGCUUAACAUGGAAACUGCCAUUGAUACUAUAGGUCUUGAAUUAUCUGGAGGUUAGCGGAAUAUGUCAUGUAGCGGUGAAAUGCUUAGAUAUGACAUAGAACACCAAUUGCGAAGGCAGCUGGCUACAGGUAUAUUGACACUGAGGCACGAAAGCGUGGGGAUCAAACAGG
rnacentral:rRNA from 1 species